rnacentral:rRNA from 1 species
CACGUGGGUAACCUGCCCAUAAGACUGGGAUAACUCCGGGAAACCGGGGCUAAUACCGGAUAACAUUUUGAACUGCAUGGUUCGAAAUUGAAAGGCGGCUUCGGCUGUCACUUAUGGAUGGACCCGCGUCGCAUUAGCUAGUUGGUGAGGUAACGGCUCACCAAGGCAACGAUGCGUAGCCGACCUGAGAGGGUGAUCGGCCACACUGGGACUGAGACACGGCCCAGACUCCUACGGGAGGCAGCAGUAGGGAAUCUUCCGCAAUGGACGAAAGUCUGACGGAGCAACGCCGCGUGAGUGAUGAAGGCUUUCGGGUCGUAAAACUCUGUUGUUAGGGAAGAACAAGUGCUAGUUGAAUAAGCUGGCACCUUGACGGUACCUAACCAGAAAGCCACGGCUAACUACGUGCCAGCAGCCGCGGUAAUACGUAGGUGGCAAGCGUUAUCCGGAAUUAUUGGGCGUAAAGCGCGCGCAGGUG